rnacentral:misc_RNA from 1 species
GUAGGUGAACCUGCGGAAGGAUCAUUAACACGUAUCCAAACGUUAAAACCCCCCUGUGAACCUUCAACACCAAUAAGGGUCCUGCAAAUAGUUCGGGGCAACCCCUAGUAAAUCAUUGUCUGAUCCAGAUUUUGAGUUAGGGGCUUCUCUGGGCACCGCGGUGAGCAGGUUUAGCUAUUUACGUCCCUGGCGGCUCUGAAGUGACUUCCACUGAAACCUUGGUUGUC